CGGAGUGUAGCGCAGCCCGGUAGCGCACCUCGUUCGGGACGAGGGGGGCGAAGGUUCGAAUCCUUUCACUCCGA
rnacentral:tRNA from 1 species